rnacentral:rRNA from 1 species
AACGAACGCUGGCGGCAGGCCUAACACAUGCAAGUCGAGCGAGGACUUCGGGCUUAGCGGUGGACGGGUGAGUAACGCGUGGGAACGUGCCUAUGGAUUCGGCUUAUCCCUGGGGAACACGGCGUAAUACCGGAUGAACUCCCGCGGGGAACGAUUGAUCGGCGGAGGGUGGUCUAGAGAUGUCUCGGUAUAGUGGGGGGGUAGUUGGGUUUCGGUAGUUGGUGGGGUAAAGGCCUACCAAGGCGACGAUCCAUAACUGGUCUGAGAGAAUGGUCCGCCACACUGGGACUGAGACGCGGUGCAGACUACUGGGGGAGGCAGGAGUGGGGAAUCUUAGACAAUGGGGGAAGUCCUGAUCUAGCCAUGCCGGGUGAGCGAUGAAGGCCUUAGGGUUGUAAAGCUAGUUAAGCUGGGAAGAUAAUGACGGUACCAGCAGAAGAAGCCCCGGCUAACUCCGUG